rnacentral:lncRNA from 1 species
GGGAAACCAUGUUCUAGAGAGAGAGGACAGUAAGGACAAAGGCCCUGAGGUGGGAACAUUCCAGGUUUGCCUGCCCCUCCCCGACCUCCACCCUUCUCACUAUGAUUUCUGGACCUCAGUUUGAGACCGGCAAAAC